rnacentral:rRNA from 1 species
UUUGGAGGGCAAGUCUGGUGCCAGCAGCCGCGGUAAUUCCAGCUCCAAUAGCGUAUAUUAAAGUUGUUGCAGUUAAAAAGCUCGUAGUUGAAUUUCGGGAUCAUCAGGUUGGUCGUGCCAUUGGUAUGUACUAGCUUUGGUGGUUCCUACCUCUUGAAGAACCGUAAUGUCAUUAAUUUGGUGUUGCGGGGAAUCAGGACUGUUACUUUGAAAAAAUUAGAGUGUUUAAAGCAGGAA